rnacentral:rRNA from 1 species
GACGAACGCUGGCGGCGUGCUUAACACAUGCAAGUCGAACGGAAAGGCCCUGCUUUUGUGGGGUGCUCGAGUGGCGAACGGGGGAGUAACACGUGAGUAACCUGCUCUUGACUUUGGGAUAACUUCAGGAAACUGGGGCUAAUACCGUAUAGGAGCUCCUGUUGCAUGGUGGGGGUUGGAAAGUUUCGGCGGUCGGGGAUGGACUCGCGGCUUAUCAGCUUGUUGGUGGGGUAGUGGAUUACCAAGGCAGGGACGGAUAGGCGGCAUGAGAGGGUGAACGGCGACAUGGGGACUGAGAUACGGCGCAGACUCCUACGGGAGGCAGCAGUGGGGAAUAUUGCACAACGGGCGGAAGCCUGAUGCAGCAACGCCGCGUGCGGGAUGACGGCCUUCGGGUUGUAAACCGCUUUCGCCUGUGACGAAGCGUGAGUGACGGUAAUGGAUGAAGAAGCACCGGCUAACUACGUG